UGUUACAGUUGAACAAUGCUGUAACAACAUGUUGACAGUACUGUUCAUAGUGGGCCGCACAACCUUGUUCACGCCUGUCGAUAUCAACUUGCAACAAGUUGUUGAUUUUCUCAAUUUUUACUUGCCUACACGCGUAAAAAUUGAGAAAAUCAACAACUUGUUGCAAGUUGAUAUCGACACUAUGAACAGUAUUGUCAACAUGUUGUUACAGCAUUGUUCACCUGUAACA